rnacentral:rRNA from 1 species
GUAGGGAAUCUUCCGCAAUGGACGAAAGUCUGACGGAGCAACGCCGCGUGAGUGAAGAAGGUUUUCGGAUCGUAAAGCUCUGUUGUUAAGGAAGAACACCAUGGAUAGGAAAUGAUCGAUGGAUGACGGUACUUAACCAGAAAGCCACGGCUAACUACGUGCCAGCAGCCGCGGUAAUACGUAGGUGGCAAGCGUUAUCCGGAAUUAUUGGGCGUAAAGCGCGCGUAGGCGGUUUCUUAAGUCUGAUGUGAAAGCCCCCGGCUCAACCGGGGAGGGUCAUUGGAAACUGGGGAACUUGAGUACAGAAGAGGAGAGUGGAAUUCCAUGUGUAGCGGUGAAAUGCGCAGAGAUAUGGAGGAACACCAGUGGCGAAGGCGGCUCUCUGGUCUGAAACUGACGCUGAGGUGCGAAAGCGUGGGGAUCAAACAGGAUUAGAAACCCUAGUAGUCC